ACAUUGGUGGUUCAAUGGCAGAAUUCUUGCCUCCUGUGCGGGGGACCGGGGUUUGAUUCCCAGCCAAGCUA
rnacentral:tRNA from 1 species